rnacentral:rRNA from 1 species
AUUGAACGCUGGCGGCAGGCCUAACACAUGCAAGUCGAGCGAGCGGCGGACGGGUGAGUAAUGUAUGGGGACUGCCCGAUAGAGGGGGAUAACUACUGGAAACGGUGGCUAAUACCGCAUACUAUCGGAUAACCCAUAUGGGAUUAGCUAGUAGGUGGGGUAAAGGCUCACCUAGGCGACGAUCUCUAGCUGGUCUGAGAGGAUGAUCAGCCCAACUGGGACUGCGCCACGGCCCAGAGUCCUACGGAGGCAGCAGUGGGGAAUAUUGCACAAGGGGCGAAAGCCUGAGGCAGCCAUGCGGCGUGUAUGAAGAAGGCCUUAGGGUUGUAAAGUACGUUCAGCGGGGAGGCGUUACUCGCAGAAGAAGCACCGGCUAACUCCGUGCCAGCAGCCGCGGUAAUAC